rnacentral:rRNA from 1 species
ACUUUACCAUGCGGGCAACCGUGAUAAGGAAACCCCGAGUGCCAGCACAGGCUGGCUGUCCGCCAGUGUAAAUAACUGGUGAAGAAAGGGCCGGGCAAGACCGGUGCCAGCCGCCGCGGUAAUACCGGCGGCUCGAGUGGUGGCCACUAUUACUGGGCUUAAAGGGUCCGUAGCUUGAUAUGCAAGUCUCUUGAGGAAUCCGCCAGCUUAACUGGUGGGCGUUCAGGGGAAACUGCAUUUCUAGGGACCGGGAGAGGUGAGAGGUACUGCCGGGGUAGGAGUGGAAUCCUGUAAUCCCGGUGGGACCACCUAUGGCGAAGGCAUCUCACCAGAACGGGUCCGACAGUGAGGGACGAAAGCUGGGGGAGCAAACCGG